rnacentral:rRNA from 1 species
AGCGAACCGGGGGAACUGAAACAUCUAAGUACCCCGAGGAAAAGAAAUCAACCGAGAUUCCCCCAGUAGCGGCGAGCGAACGGGGAGCAGCCCAGAGUCUGAAUCAGCUUGUGUGUUAGUGGAACGGUCUGGAAAGUCCGACGGUACAGGGUGAUAGUCCCGUACACCAAAAUGCACAGGUUGUGAACUCGAAGAGUAGGGCGGGACACGUGGUAUCCUGUCUGAAUAUGGGGGGACCAUCCUCCAAGGCUAAAUACUCCUGACUGACCGAUAGUGAACCAGUACCGUGAGGGAAAGGCGAAAAGAACCCCGGCGAGGGGAGUGAAAAAGAACCUGAAACCGUGUACGUACAAGCAGUGGGAGCCUCUUUAUGGGGUGACUGCGUACCUUUUGUAUAAUGGGUCAGCGACUUAUAUUCUGUAGCAAGGUUAACCGUAUAGGGGAGCCGAAGGGAAACCGAGUCUUAACUGGGCGUUAAGUUGCAGGGUAUAGACCCGAAACCCGGUGAUCUAGCCAUGGGCAGGUUGAAGGUUGGGUAACACUAACUGGAGGACCGAACCGACUAAUGUUGAAAAAUUAGCGGAUGACUUGUGGCUGGGGGUGAAAGGCCAAUCAAACCGGGAGAUAGCUGGUUCUCCCCGAAAGCUAUUUAGGUAGCGCCUCGUGAAUUCAUCUUCGGGGGUAGAGCACUGUUUCGGCUAGGGGGUCAUCCCGACUUACCAACCCGAUGCAAACUGCGAAUACCGAAGAAUGUUAUCACGGGAGACACACGGCGGGUGCUAACGUCCGUCGUGAAGAGGGAAACAACCCAGACCGCCAGCUAAGGUCCCAAAGUCAUGGUUAAGUGGGAAACGAUGUGGGAAGGCACAGACAGCCAGGAUGUUGGCUUAGAAGCAGCCAUCAUUUAAAGAAAGCGUAAUAGCUCACUGGUCGAGUCGGCCUGCGCGGAAGAUGUAACGGGGCUAAACCAUGCACCGAAGCUGCGGCAGCGACACUAUGUGUUGUUGGGUAGGGGAGCGUUCUGUAAGCCGUUGAAGGUGUCCUGUGAGGGGUGCUGGAGGUAUCAGAAGUGCGAAUGCUGACAUAAGUAACGAUAAUGCGGGUGAAAAACCCGCACGCCGGAAGACCAAGGGUUCCUGUCCAACGUUAAUCGGGGCAGGGUGAGUCGACCCCUAAGGCGAGGCCGAAAGGCGUAGUCGAUGGGAAACAGGUUAAUAUUCCUGUACUUGGUGUUACUGCGAAGGGGGGACGGAGAAGGCUAUGUUAGCCGGGCGACGGUUGUCCCGGUUUAAGCAUGUAGGCGGAGGUUCCAGGUAAAUCCGGUACCUUUUUAACGCUGAGGUGUGAUGACGAGGCACUACGGUGCUGAAGUAACAAAUGCCCUGCUUCCAGGAAAA